rnacentral:rRNA from 1 species
UUAGUUGCCAGCAUUCAGUUGGGCACUCUAAGGUGACUGCCGGCUAAAAGUCGGAGGAAGUGGGGGAUGACGUCAAAUCAUCAUGCCCCUUAUGACCUGGGCUACACACGUGCUACAAUGGGCGGUACAAAGGGUCGCGAACCCGCGAGGGGGAGCCAAUCCCAAAAAGCCGCUCUCAGUUCGGAUUGCAGGCUGCAACUCGCCUGCAUGAAGCCGGAAUCGCUAGUAAUCGCGGAUCAGCAUGCCGCGGUGAAUACGUUCCCGGGCCUU